rnacentral:rRNA from 1 species
AUCGAACGCUGGCGGCAUGCCUAACACAUGCAAGUCGAGCGGAUGAAGGGAGCUUGCUCCUGGAUUCAGCGGCGGACGGGUGAGUGAUGCUUAGGAAUCAGCCUGGUGGUGGUGGGUAACGUCCGGAAACGGGCGCUAAUACCGCAUACGGCCUGCGGGAGAAAGUGGGGGAUCAUCGGAGCUGAACGUAGGCGUCUAGCCGAGGGCGGAUUGGGUAGUUGGUGGGGUAAGGGCCUACCAAGGCUACGAUCCUUACCUGGUCUGAGGGAUAGAUCAGUCACUCGGGAACUGGGACACGCUCCGGACUCCUACGGGGGCCGGCAGGGGGGAAUAUUGGACAAUGGGCGAAAGCCUGAUCCAGCAAGGCCGGGUGGGUAAAAAGGGUCUUGGGUUUGUAAAGCACUUUAAGUUGGAAGGAAGGGCAUUAAGUUAAUAGCGUGAUGUUUUGACGGUACCAGAAGAAUAAGCACCGGCUAACUACGUG